UUGUCCUGAGCAGGUAAAGUACCGCACAGCUUGCGGUUGAGAAUGCCCUUAGGACGGGACUAUACGUCCUGCCAUCACGCCAAGAAUCUUCCUAAAGAAGUAUUGGUAUGAAAUACAGUCACAACAACUGGUAGCUCUUGCAAAGGAGUGAACGUCUGAAGUGACAGUGGUAGAGUCAAGGGUGUGCAGGGCUACAACGC
rnacentral:sRNA from 12 species